rnacentral:rRNA from 1 species
GAUCAUGGCUCAGGACGAACGCUGGCGGCGUGCUUAACACAUGCAAGUCGAACGAAGAGCGAUGGAAGCUUGCUUCUAUCAAUCUUAGUGGCGAACGGGUGAGUAACGCGUAAUCAACCUGCCCUUCAGAGGGGGACAACAGUUGGAAACGACUGCUAAUACCGCAUACGAUCUAACCUCGGCAUCGAGGAUGGAUGAAAGGUGGCCUNUAUUUAUAAGCUAUCACUGAAGGAGGGG